rnacentral:rRNA from 1 species
UACGAAGGGGGCUAGCGUUGCUCGGAAUCACUGGGCGUAAAGGGUGCGUAGGCGGGUCUUUAAGUCAGGGGUGAAAUCCUGGAGCUCAACUCCAGAACUGCCUUUGAUACUGAGGAUCUUGAGUUCGGGAGAGGUGAGUGGAACUCCGAGUGUAGAGGUGAAAUUCGUAGAUAUUCGGAAGAACACCAGUGGCGAAGGCGG